UACGUAGGGGCAAGCGUUGUCCGGAAUUAUUGGGCGUAAAGCGCGCGCAGGCGGUCUCUUAAGUCUGAUGUGAAAUCUUGCGGCUCAACCGCAAGCGGUCAUUGGAAACUGGGAGACUUGAGUACAGAAGAGGAGAGUGGAAUUCCAUGUGUAGCGGUGAAAUGCGUAGAUAUAUGGAGGAACACCAGUGGCGAAGGCGACUCUCUGGUCUGUAACUGACGCUGAGGCGCGAAAGCGUGGGGAGCAAACAGG
rnacentral:rRNA from 1 species